GGUUAAGCGACUAAGCGUACACGGUGGAUGCCCUGGCAGUCAGAGGCGAUGAAGGACGUGCUAAUCUGCGAUAAGCGUCGGUGAGGUGAUAUGAACCGUUAUAACCGGCGAUUUCCGAAUGGGGAAACCCAGCAUGAGUUAUGUCAUGUUAUCGAUAUGUGAAUACAUAGCAUAUCAGAAGGCACACCCGGAGAACUGAAACAUCUUAGUACCCGGAGGAAGAGAAAGAAAAUUCGAUUCCCUUAGUAGCGGCGAGCGAAACGGGAAGAGCCCAAACCAACAAGCUUGCUUGUUGGGGUUGUAGGACACUCUAUACGGAGUUACAAAGGACGACAUUAGACGAAUCAUCUGGAAAGAUGAAUCAAAGAAGGUAAUAAUCCUGUAGUCGAAAAUGUUGUCUCUCUUGAGUGGAUCCUGAGUACGACGGAGCACGUGAAAUUCCGUCGGAAUCUGGGAGGACCAUCUCCUAAGGCUAAAUACUCUCUAGUGACCGAUAGUGAACCAGUACCGUGAGGGAAAGGUGAAAAGCACCCCGGAAGGGGAGUGAAAUAGAACCUGAAACCGUGUGCUUACAAGUAGUCAGAGCCCGUUAAUGGGUGAUGGCGUGCCUUUUGUAGAAUGAACCGGCGAGUUACGAUUUGAUGCAAGGUUAAGCAGUAAAUGUGGAGCCGUAGCGAAAGCGAGUCUGAAUAGGGCGUUUAGUAUUUGGUCGUAGACCCGAAACCAGGUGAUCUACCCUUGGUCAGGUUGAAGUUCAGGUAACACUGAAUGGAGGACCGAACCGACUUACGUUGAAAAGUGAGCGGAUGAACUGAGGGUAGCGGAGAAAUUCCAAUCGAACCUGGAGAUAGCUGGUUCUCUCCGAAAUAGCUUUAGGGCUAGCCUCAAGUGAUGAUUAUUGGAGGUAGAGCACUGUUUGGACGAGGGGCCCCUCUCGGGUUACCGAAUUCAGACAAACUCCGAAUGCCAAUUAAUUUAACUUGGGAGUCAGAACAUGGGUGAUAAGGUCCGUGUUCGAAAGGGAAACAGCCCAGACCACCAGCUAAGGUCCCAAAAUAUAUGUUAAGUGGAAAAGGAUGUGGCGUUGCCCAGACAACUAGGAUGUUGGCUUAGAAGCAGCCAUCAUUUAAAGAGUGCGUAAUAGCUCACUAGUCGAGUGACACUGCGCCGAAAAUGUACCGGGGCUAAACAUAUUACCGAAGCUGUGGAUUGUCCUUUGGACAAUGGUAGGAGAGCGUUCUAAGGGCGUUGAAGCAUGAUCGUAAGGACAUGUGGAGCGCUUAGAAGUGAGAAUGCCGGUGUGAGUAGCGAAAGACGGGUGAGAAUCCCGUCCACCGAUUGACUAAGGUUUCCAGAGGAAGGCUCGUCCGCUCUGGGUUAGUCGGGUCCUAAGCUGAGGCCGACAGGCGUAGGCGAUGGAUAACAGGUUGAUAUUCCUGUACCACCUAUAAUCGUUUUAAUCGAUGGGGGGACGCAGUAGGAUAGGCGAAGCGUGCGAUUGGAUUGCACGUCUAAGCAGUAAGGCUGAGUAUUAGGCAAAUCCGGUACUCGUUAAGGCUGAGCUGUGAUGGGGAGAAGACAUUGUGUCUUCGAGUCGUUGAUUUCACACUGCCGAGAAAAGCCUCUAGAUAGAAAAUAGGUGCCCGUACCGCAAACCGACACAGGUAGUCAAGAUGAGAAUUCUAAGGUGAGCGAGCGAACUCUCGUUAAGGAACUCGGCAAAAUGACCCCGUAACUUCGGGAGAAGGGGUGCUCUUUAGGGUUAACGCCCAGAAGAGCCGCAGUGAAUAGGCCCAAGCGACUGUUUAUCAAAAACACAGGUCUCUGCUAAACCGUAAGGUGAUGUAUAGGGGCUGACGCCUGCCCGGUGCUGGAAGGUUAAGAGGAGUGGUUAGCUUCUGCGAAGCUACGAAUCGAAGCCCCAGUAAACGGCGGCCGUAACUAUAACGGUCCUAAGGUAGCGAAAUUCCUUGUCGGGUAAGUUCCGACCCGCACGAAAGGCGUAACGAUUUGGGCACUGUCUCAACGAGAGACUCGGUGAAAUCAUAGUACCUGUGAAGAUGCAGGUUACCCGCGACAGGACGGAAAGACCCCGUGGAGCUUUACUGUAGCCUGAUAUUGAAAUUCGGCACAGCUUGUACAGGAUAGGUAGGAGCCUUUGAAACGUGAGCGCUAGCUUACGUGGAGGCGCUGGUGGGAUACUACCCUAGCUGUGUUGGCUUUCUAACCCGCACCACUUAUCGUGGUGGGAGACAGUGUCAGGCGGGCAGUUUGACUGGGGCGGUCGCCUCCUAAAAGGUAACGGAGGCGCUCAAAGGUUCCCUCAGAAUGGUUGGAAAUCAUUCAUAGAGUGUAAAGGCAUAAGGGAGCUUGACUGCGAGACCUACAAGUCGAGCAGGGUCGAAAGACGGACUUAGUGAUCCGGUGGUUCCGCAUGGAAGGGCCAUCGCUCAACGGAUAAAAGCUACCCCGGGGAUAACAGGCUUAUCUCCCCCAAGAGUUCACAUCGACGGGGAGGUUUGGCACCUCGAUGUCGGCUCAUCGCAUCCUGGGGCUGUAGUCGGUCCCAAGGGUUGGGCUGUUCGCCCAUUAAAGCGGUACGCGAGCUGGGUUCAGAACGUCGUGAGACAGUUCGGUCCCUAUCCGUCGUGGGCGUAGGAAAUUUGAGAGGAGCUGUCCUUAGUACGAGAGGACCGGGAUGGACACACCGCUGGUGUACCAGUUGUCUUGCCAAAGGCAUCGCUGGGUAGCUAUGUGUGGACGGGAUAAGUGCUGAAAGCAUCUAAGCACGAAACUUGCCCCGAGAUGAGUUCUCCCUGACUCCUUGAGAGUCCUGAAGGAACGUUGAAGACGACGACGUUGAUAGGCCGGGUGUGUAAGCGCAGCGAUGCGUUGAGCUAACCGGUACUAAUGAACCGUGAGGCUUAACCUU
rnacentral:rRNA from 1 species